rnacentral:rRNA from 1 species
UACGUAGGGGCCUAGCGUUGUCCGGAUUUAUUGGGCGUAAAGCGCUGGUAGGUGGCUUGUUAAGUCGCGUGUGAAAGCUCCAGGCUCAACCUGGAAAGUGCGCGCGAAACUGGCGAGCUUAAGUGCCGGAGAGGGUCGCGGAAUUCCCAGUGUAGAGGUGAAAUUCGUAGAUAUUGGGAGGAACACCAGAGGCGAAGGCGGCGACCUGGAAGGUAACUGACACUGAGCAGCGAAAGCGUGGGGAGCAAACAGG